rnacentral:rRNA from 1 species
CUUGGUCAUUUAGAGGAAGUAAAAGUCGUAACAAGGUUUCCGUAGGUGAACCUGCGGAAGGAUCAUUCAUAAUAAGUGUUUUACUGCACUUUUUAAAAAUCAGUAUUCACCUUGUGUGCAAUGUUUGCUGACGAGUUCGCGUUUUURCGCGUUCUUGGCAGYAYAAUACCAACCCUUUAUURAAAUUUUUUGUCUGAAAUUUUUUGAAUACAUAAUUCGAAAUACAACUUUUAACAACGGAUCUCUUGGCUCUCGCAUCGAUGAAGAACGCAGCGAWAUGCGAUACGUAAUGUGAAUUGCAGAAUUCAGUGAAUCAUCGAAUCUUUGAACGCACAUUGCACUCUCUGGUAUUCCGGAGAGUAUGCUUGUUUGAGUAUCUGUAAACAUCUCAAAUCUCUACUUUAUUGUAAAGAAUUGGACUUGAGCAAUCCCAACUCCUUCGUCAGAAAGAGAAGGGUUGCUUGAAAUGCAGGUGCAGCUGGACAUUCUUCUGAGCUAAAAGCAUAUUUAUUUAGUCCCGUCAAACGGAUUAUUAUUCUUGCUUCAGCUUAYAUAAAGGUUGAAUGACUACCAAGGCUGAUUGCAGGUAAACUCGUUCCGUAAAAAAGAACUUGUAAACUCGAUCUCAAAUCAAGUAAGACUACCCGCUGAACUUAAGCAUAUCAAUAAGCGGAGGA